GACGAACGCUGGCGGCGUGCUUAACACAUGCAAGUCGAACGGAAAGGCCCUGCUUUUGUGGGGUGCUCGAGUGGCGAACGGGUUAUUAACAUUUGAGUAACCUGCCCUUGACUUUGGGAUAACUUUAGGAAACUGGGGCUAAUACCGGAUAGUAGCUCCUGCUGCAUGGUGGGGGUUGGAAAGUUUCGGCGGUUGGGGAUGGACUCGCGGCUUAUCAGCUUGUUGGUGGGGUAGUGGCUUACCAAGGCUUUGACGGGUAGCCGGCCUGAGAGGGUGACCGGCCAGAUUGGGAGUGAGAUACGGCCCAGACUGAUACGGGAGGCAGGAGUGGGGAAUAUUGCACAAUGGGCGGAAGCAUGAUGCAGCAACGCAGCGUGCGGGAGGAAGGCCUUCGGGUGGGAAACAGCUUUCGCCUGUGACGAAGCGUGAGUGACGGUAAUGGGGAAAGAAGCACCGGCUAACUACGU
rnacentral:rRNA from 1 species